UGGCAGUAAAUUUUUAUACACUAAAUUUAUGGGCUACUGUUUCAUCUUGUGUAGGUUUUAUUUCUUAUCAAUGGUGUAAUAAGAAACCGAAAAUUUCCAUGGUCUUUGUCUAGGAAUUAUGCAAGUUUUCGAUUACAGGCAGUCAAGGUCAGCAUGGUCAUGGCAUGAUCAGGGUCAAUACUAAUUAUCAUUGGCCACAAAUAUUUUAAUUGACCAAUGAGGUUAAAGUGCAUGCUAACUUUCAACAAGCGUCAAGUUGCGCCCGCAUUAUCGCAAUUGCACUGAAUGCUACUAGACGCUAUUUUUGUUUUGCCAGAAAAGUAAAGAUUUUCAAUUUCCCACCCACCUACACCCUCUUUUUUAAGUUUUUAGUAUUAUUCUAUCAUAUCUAUGUUGAUUGUAUAUAAUUGUUUGUUUAUGUUUUGUAAUUUGUUUAUUGAUGAGUGGCGGUAUUUAUUCCCCACCUUUGCAAUUGUUGUCAUUUAUUCAGUUUUGUUUGAUGACAUAGUUGUCCAUCACUGUCAGUUAUAUAAUGCUUUAUGAUAUUCUGAAUAAAUGACCUUUUUCACAAAUCUUGAGUUAGAUAUUCUGCAAAUGAACUCGCAUCCUUGGUUUCCAUUUUCAUGUCUUUAUGUG
rnacentral:lncRNA from 1 species